CCUACGGGUGGCAGCAGUGAGGAAUAUUGGUCAAUAGCCGGAAGGCUGAACCAGCCAAGCCGCGUGAGGGAGGAAGGCGCAGAGCGUCGCAGACCUCUUUUGCCGGGGGACAAAAGGCCGGACUCGUCCGGUCCUGAGGGUACCCGGAGAAAAAGCAUCGGCUAACUCCGUGCCAGCAGCCGCGGUAAAACGGAGGAUGCGAGCGUUAUCCGGAUUGAGUGGGUGUACAGGGUGCGCAGGCGGGCCUUUAAGCCGGCGGGGAAACCGCGGGGCUCACCCCCGCCGAGCCGUCGGAACUGGGGGCCUUGAGUGCGGCGGCGGCAUGCGGAAUUCGCGGUGUAGCGGUGAAAUGC
rnacentral:rRNA from 1 species